UAGGAGGAGAGGUAGGAACUAGGAGAAGAUGUAGGUACGAGGAGGAGAGGUAGGAACGAGGAGGAGAGGUAGGAAUGAGGAGAAGAUGUAGGAACGAGGAGGAGAGGUAGGAAUGAGGAGGAGAGGUAGGAAUGAGGAGGAGAGGUAGGAACGAGGAGGAGAGGUAGGAAUGAGGAGGAGAGGUAGGAACGAGGAGGAGAGGUAGGAACGAGGAGGAGAGGUAGGAACGAGGAGGAGAGGUAGGAAUGAGGAGGAGAGGUAGGAAUGAGGAGGAGAGGUAGGAACGAGGAGGAGAGGUAGGAAUGAGGAGGAGAGGUAGGAACUAGGAGGUAGGAAUGAGGAGGAGAGGUAGGAACGAGGAGGAGAGGUAGGAACGAGGAGGAGAGGUAGGAAUGAGGAGGAGAGGUAGGAACUAGGAGGUAGGAAUGAGGAGGAGAGGUAGGAACGAGGAGGAGAGGUAGGAAUGAGGAGGAGAGGUAGGAACGAGGAGGAGAGGUAGGAACGAGGAGGAGAGGUAGGAACGAGGAGGAGAGGUAGGAACGAGGAGGAGAGGUAGGAAAGAGGAGGAGAGGUAGGAACGAGGAGGAGAGGUAGGAACGAGGAGGAGAGGUAGGAACGAGGAGGAGAGGUAGGAAUGAGGAGGAGAGGUAGGAAUGAGGAGGAGAGGUAGGAACUAGGGGGUUAGAGAUCAUAACGACCCUUUGAUGUGAUUUACGAGAGCACAGCCGGUCUCUUCUACUCCAGACUAGUCUUACUACAUGGGGUUAGGGGUCAACUCAUUCCCACUCAGUGGUAUAAACAGACUAGACAAAUGGUCUCAUGGUAACAACUUCCUAGUGGCAACCUCUCACUUUUCUUUCUCUCUCUUCCUUACUUCCCUCCCCUUUUCUCUUUUCCCUUUCUUUCUUUCUCUGCUAUGAGAAGCCUGUAUACAACACUAUACCACUUCUCUCCUCACAUAUCCCUCUCAGAGAGAGAAUGAGGGACAGAGAGAGUUCAUUGGUCAUUUUCU